UCCAUCGCGAGGCGGAAUCUGAAAGAAGCCAGCGGCAAAAGUUCGAGUCUACGAACAGAAACUGUAUAAAAGGCGGGGCAACGAGGGUGAUGUUCCAAUGUUCGGGUCGGACCUUGAUCCCGCAGGAGAUUUCCUCCUUAAAUCCGUCGAUACUAACUCUAAUAUAAAGGGAGAGGC
rnacentral:ncRNA from 1 species